rnacentral:lncRNA from 1 species
CUACAAUGAAUGAUGUGAAUAACAGCAUAGUAAAGUAACUCAAGCUCCUGAAUGAAAGGAAAAGCAGUCCUUAACACCAAGCAGGAAUGUGCUCCUCAUUUCUAACUUGUCCCUCACUACAUCCUUUACCCAAUGGGGUGUUAUGCAUUUAUAUGUAUUUGCUCACUGCCUGGGGUUACAAUCUUGUCUGUAGCUUCAUUGUGGGGUCUAAGGUAGAAAAAAAGACAGGAGAGAGCUUUCUCCAUUCACUAUCAAAUAACUAUUCAGUGUUUUCCAAACUCACCUGUUUAUUCACGAAUGGGGCACAGCUGUGAGCUGCACAGGCUGCUGGGACAGCAAGUGGUGAAAAGCCUUGCUGGCCAGCUAGCAGUAAGGGAGUGCUAGUGAGAUAAAAGUGCAGUUUUCUUGGGAUUUCUUAUUGUCUUAAGUGUGGGAUGUUUCUCAGAUUUUUGCAAGUGGUUCUUUUUAUUUCUGGUCAUUGGGAAAAAACUGGAGUGAAUCUGGUUUGGAUGUCUGCAUUUCAGCAAGAAGCCUCACCAAGGAGGGAAGAGCUCAAGGGUCCUUCAACUCCUAGCUGGUGUUACUACGUGCUGCAGGUUUUCCAAACUGACAUGGAAGUCUCAAAAGAAAAAAAUCCCAGUAUAUUGGGAAAGAACUUAAAAGCCUGCGGGUGUUCGAGUUGUGAUUUGAGGCUCAUUAGAUGUCACCAGAUCUGACCAACCUAGAGGAAGAGGGUGAAAUUGGACUGAAACAGCCCCCUCAUUUUACGUAGAGCCACCGAUGACCCAGGCUGCAUUUGAACCACAGCCCUAGAGGCAAAAGGCUUUGCAUCUCAUUGCCAAUUCACAGCAAGAGCAUAACUUGAGCCCACACACUAAUGCUAAGCAAGGGCUGAGUGUUUCUAAUCCUUAUUCACAUAUCUAUACCUAUUAAAAUUGCGAGUGUGAAGAUUUGCAGGACUUGUUCCUUUCUUGUAAAGACUGGCCUUUUCAAAACAUGUCCGUAAAUCAAAUGAAAAAUUGAAUUAUCUGCCAAAAAGAGACAUAAAGAGAAAUGCAAGAAGAGUGUGUGGCUUUCUUUUUCAGACAUAUUGUGCUGAAUGGAACUGUUUGGCUUAAACAGUUAUGUUUAAGAAAUAUUAUGUUUUUAGAAGGCUGAGAAUGUUUAGACGUAAUGAUCUUAAAGGCUCAUUAUCACAGGUGCAGCACUUUAGUCUCUAUUCUUAUUAUGAGAAAAGCCACUUCUACACAGGCUGCCUGGAUGGCGUCCCUCCCACUGGAACGCUUGCCCUUCUCACUGGCUGCAUAAUGUGCAGAGGGCAGGAUUAACUGACUCACUAACCAGCCUUCCUGGCCCACACGGCUCCAGGAUGCUGGAAAAUCUAUUUGGAUGAGUUCUUUGAGAUUCUGACUUUCAGUGACCCUGUGACAGGACAAGAUAGAAGACUGAUUCUUUUAAAAAUGCCAGGUAGUGACUCCCAGCAGUUAACAAAUUUCUCCAUCCCCAAAAUAAUUUGGAAGGAUACAUCGUACAAUUCUUUUUUUCUUCAUAUAAUUUACGGGUGUUAGUCCUGAAGACCUUAAGUAAUCCUCAUGAAAGGCCAUCUGUCCUGGUGCCCACAUCCUCUUAUACCAGGCAUUCAUGUGGAAGAUCAGCUGGAGAGGCAGAAGAAGGGACUUCUUUAAAAUGAAAGGUUCUGUGAUUUUUUCAGCCAGCACUGUUAUUCAGGGGUAAGAGAUGGAACUUACUUGUUAAAUGCUCUUAUGGGCUCGUGGCCUCUUAGUUAUACCUGUAAUUGGUCAUGAUGUCAUUUUUAGCCAUGUUCUGUAAUCAUGGAGAAUAAUUCCCUCAAUUAUUGUCUUACAUAACAUACCGUUUUUUUCUAUGAUGAUAAAUCUGGAAGUUGGCCAGUCUGAAAUGUGAAAUGCCAGGGUUUAUCCUCCCAGAGUCUCCAUAUCCCUAACCCUAAUCUUACUUCUUUCCCUUCACAAAAUAUUCCAUUCUUUUAACCUUUUUUUCCCCACAGAAUUUCCUACCUCUUCAAAAAUACUUUAUAUAUCUUCUCCAGGAACUCAGUCACCUCUUUUUAAAAUUCAUCUAUGAAGACAAUUUUUUUAUUUUGUUAUUCCUAUAAAAACAAAGUUUCCUGGUGGUCCAUGGAGCAUGAAUAGAUGUUCAUUUUGGGAGCUGUGACGUUACAUCAAACCAAUUCCAUGCCAGUUCCCCUUGUGAUGCUCCUACAGGCAAGGCAGCCUGCAUCUCUGUUGGAGGAACAGAGCAAAGGGUUUAAGUUUAGAAUAUAUCAAUAGUUUAUAAAUGUUAUUUUUUCACAUAAAUGGCGUAUUUUUUCAUACGUAGUACAAUUGUGACUAAGAGAUGGUGUGUUUAGGUGAAAUAAGAAAUAAUGGCCUAUAAUGUCAGGAACCAAAAGCAAAUUGUCCAUAUAAAAUAUAAAGUUGUCUACAUUGUGCAAAGAACAUGGAGCCUGUCAUCCUUCAUUAUUCAUUACCUUUUCUUUAUCUAUUGUCAAAAUUUUUAUAUUAAAAGAUUCUGUAGAAAGUAAUGUAGCCUUCCAUUGCCCUGUACAUAACACACACGUUGAAAAUAAAGGGACUUUCAUUAUAAAAAGAUGUAAAGAU